CCCCCCCCCCCCCCUCCCGGCUCAGAAAGCGAUGAAAUGUCCGGUAUGCACCAGUAUGUCAUGUCCGCCACUCCCUAUGAGCCUCAAACGUGUUGAUAACAGCAUCGAAGACGUCUUUCCCGCACGCCAUCCACGCGAGCGUCGAGUGUUACUACGAGUGCAGCAACCAAGGCGGAAUCGCACCUACACCGACCAACCCCGGUGGCGA